ensembl:lincRNA Gm9530 predicted gene 9530
CCGCUGAUCGGCGGGGCCGCCCCCCGCGCGGCGAGCCUCUCGCGGGCGCUCCCAGCUGCACGUGCUGCCCCCGCCGCCGCCCUCGCCAGACAAAGGGGGCCUUCCUGGGCGCCUUUCUUGGGAUCCCCCCCUUCUCUAGCAGACCCUUUGAUUCCUGAACCUCCUGCUGUCUUCAUCGCUCCCUGCUUCCCACCCCUCUCAGCCGCCUCCUGGAGUGUUGUCUUUUGUGCUUGCCACCUCAAGUUUGGCCUUCCCUCCAAAGCUGUCUUAACCAGGACUCCAUCUGGCCCCUCCCCCAGUCUGGCUCUUUGGUAGCUUUGCACAUUUGUUGUGAGGGCGACUGCUCCCUUCUCUUUAUGUCUCUCAGCUCCAUGUUACCUUUUCUGUGGCCCUGCCCCUUUCAUCGAACCUUCUUUCUAUCCUCAGCUGUCCAAGACUCUUCCAGAAACCCUUGGCAUCUCUCCCGCUGCUUCUUCCCACUUUAUCGUACUUUUUUAACCUCCAUGACCGGUGGGACAGAAAAAAAUUGCAAAUGACCACAUAGGUUGAAUCUCCCUUGCAUCUUCCGCUUUGCCAACCCCUGGCCCCUGUAACUCUGAAAUCACAUUAUUUGAGCUCUGUGAGUGGCACUAUGGGACUCUGUGGGUCUUGUGGUCACCAGUCUCUUUGCUUGGAAAUUCAAGGGAAGGUAACUACUGGAAACCAGCCCUGAAACACUGAAACACACUCUGAGGGCUAACAUUCUUACUCCAUCCCAGCUUCUCUUUGCUUUGUUUUACACUCCAUCUGUCUCUUCCGGACAAGACACACACACCUCUGGAACACAAUACACACACGUCACAUUGUUCAUCCUUUGGCAGUAACUCUGCAAGAGGAAAGGGCAGGUCCCCCUCUCCAGGAAGGAAGGUGGGGCAGGGGUAGCUUCUGCAGGAAGGGAAGGAAGGAAGUGGCCACCAAAGAAGGUGGAAUCUGUUGGGAGGGAUUUUUAUUGUUUUAACUUCUUUCCUUUUCAGUUGUGGAAAGGCAAGCCCAAGGCCAUCUCAGAACCAGGGUUCUGCUGCCAUCUGCCAGGACCCCAGUGAGGGCUCCCAGAACCCUGCCUCAAAACUAGACCUUGAGGAAACUGUAAACUAAGAGCAGGCAAGGCUAAGAGAAUGCAACAUAUUUUCUCAGCCCCUUGAGUCACACACAGGUCCUUCUGUAGCCAAUAGAACCAUGCCACAAAGAACAUUCUGGGCCUAACAGUGUCCCAAGCUGAGGUAUGAAGAAAAGUGGUUGCAGGACACACAUAGACAAAAAUCAAUGCAAGACAGACACGAAGCACUGAGAGUUGAAGGUGGGUAGUCAGAAAUUCAAAGUCAUCCUGAGGCACAGGGCAGUUUGUAGGCUAGGAUGGGGUAUAUGCCAUUCUGUCUUAAAGAACAAAAGCAAAUGUUAGGUGUGGUGGACACGCCUUCAAUCCCAGUGCUCUGGAGGCAGAGGCAGGCAGAUCNCUGUGAGUUUGAGGUCAGCCUGGUCUAAUGAGUGAGUUCCAGGAUAACCAGGGCUAUGUAGAGAGACUCUGUCUCCAAAAAGAAAGAAAGGAGAAAAUUCACAAAAGGAUCAGGAGGCAAUGACGUAGAAAAGAACUGUCCCCUGAGGAAGCUGAGCUUGGGAGGGAAGAGAAAUCUAGGUGAACAGAGGUCAGUGGAGCCUUCAACUUGUGAAAGUGUUUACAUUCAAAAUAACACCACAGGGCCUGGAAAAUGGGCUCAGAACUUCUGGAGGACUCAGUUCAAUUCCCAGAGCCCAUAUGACAAUUCACAGCUGUCUAUAACUCCAGCUUCAAGGGAUCCUAUGCCCUUUUCAGACCUACUUGGUAGACCAGGCAUGUAUAUGAUAUACUUACAUACAUGUAGGCAAAACAUUCAUACAUAUAAAAUAAAAAUUAAUGUAUAAAGAAACCAAGAUUAUAUUUAAUUAGGUGUGUGGGCACUCCUGCCUGAAUGCUGCACACACAUGAGGUCAGGGGAGAAUUUACAGAAGACUUGGUAAUCCAGGCACAAAAGGGCUCUCAGCCAUGAUUCCUGCUAGGCAGUCCAGAGCAGAAGAGGCUUGCCCACAAGGAUUCAUUUGCAUAGUGUACCUUUGCUCUCCCAUCUAUUCUAACAGAUUAUUUUGUCAUUGUCAGCGAAUGCAGUGGAGGUGGCUGGAAUUAGGGCAAGUAUGAACAGAGCUGUAGGGCUUGGCUGCCUUCUGAUGUCUCACUUGCCCUGUGAAGGACAGUGCUUCAUUGGGAAUCCAAGUCCAGUGACGAUUGAAUGUUUGCUCAUGCUGAGCUGUGGCAGAACCCCGUAGAGUGGCAUUAAAAACUAACCGCCACCCAGAACCAACUUUUCUAAAGAUGAAGUUGCCUGUAUCCUAGACUGGCUUCAACCAUAUUAGGUAGCUGUUGUCAACCUUGAACUUUUGAUCCUCCCUCUUUGUUCCAGGAAGAAGGGUGCCAUGAGGAACGGGGUCUAAUGAUCCCGUGACAUGUAACAGAUGAAAUAAACACAUGAAAAGCCAUGUAGUAACUGAAAAAAAUAAUAAACACACAUGUGAUGGGGAAAAUAAAAUAAGAUACAGAGUGCCAAGGGGAAUGUGGCGGAAAGGACUCCCCUGGCCAGUGUGAAGAUGGGGGGUAAGGACCUUGAACAAGAAGAACAGUUUGGAGGAUAUUAGAGAGCCCCAGGAGAGUGACAGUGGUGGCUCGGAUAGUGGCCACUUUGAACAACGGAAACUGUGGCUUUGAGGGCUACAGGCAUCUUCUCCUCUGCCAUAGGUUUGGUAUUGCUGACUGAAUCCACCCAAAGGACCCAGUGGCAGGCCUAGGAGCAUAGUGUGGAAAGAUCUCACUGAUGGGUGUGACAUGUGGCUGGAUUGGAACCUUCCCUCUCUACUCUGAAGCAUUCCUGGAGGUUCUUGAUGGGAAGUUUGCCAACCUCUAAAAGAUUACCCAGAAAAGAAUCUUUAAGUUGCAUCAACUGGCUCUCUGACUAUCAAGUAUGGGGCAAGCCAUUUAACCUCUCCGAAUGUCGGUUUCUUUGUAAAAUAGGGUUCAUGAUUCUUGCCUUGCUGGUCUAUUGUAGGAUUAUGAAUAUUACAGAAAACUGAAUAAAUGUUAGCCCCUGACUACACUGCA